rnacentral:tRNA from 1 species
GGGUGUAUAGCUCAGUUGGCAGAGUAAUGGUCUCCAAAACCAUAUGUCAUCGGUUCGAUUCCGGUUGCACCUG